rnacentral:rRNA from 1 species
GCAUCGAUGAAGAACGCAGCGAAAUGCGAUAACUAAUGUGAAUUGCAGAAUUCAGUGAAUCAUCGAGUCUUUGAACGCACAUUGCGCCCUCUGGUAUUCCGGAGGGCAUGCCUGUCCGAGCGUCAUUGCUGCCCUCAAGCCCGGCUUGUGUGUUGGGCCCCGUCCCCCCCGCCGGGGGGACGGGCCCGAAAGGCAGCGGCGGCACCGCGUCCGGUCCUCGAGCGUAUGGGGCUUCGUCACCCGCUCUAGUAGGCCCGGCCGGCGCCAGCCGACCCCCAACCUUUAAUUAUCUCAGGUUGACCUCGGAUCAGGUAGGGAUACCCGCUGAACUUAAGCAUAUCAAUAAACGGAGGA